UACGUAGGCAGCGAGCGUUGUUCGGAGUUACUGGGCGUAAAGGGUGUGUAGGCGGUGUUCCAAGUCUGUCGUGAAAUCUCCCGGCUUAACUGGGAGGGUGCGGCGGAAACUGGAAUGCUAGAGGGUGGGAGAGGUAAGCGGAAUUCCUGGUGUAGCGGUGAAAUGCGUAGAUAUCAGGAGGAACACCUGUGGUGUAGACAGCUUACUGGACCACUUCUGACGCUGAGGACACGAAAGCGUGGGUAGCAAACAGG
rnacentral:rRNA from 1 species